CUUUCAUGGAGUGAAGUUAGUCCAGUCUGUGUCCCUAAUGUAAUUUGGAUUUUUUACAGUUAAUUCAUAAUUUUUAUGAAUAUGAGCCACAAUGCAUCAAUAUUUUACGGAUUAUUCUCAAAACUGAGGAUUCUGAAUCCAGAUACUUCAGCUGGAGUAUGGAUUUACAGUGUAGAGGUUACUGCAUGGAACAUCCACAGCAAGUUAUCGAAAUAUGUAUAGCCAAGUGAAUCUCCAUUCAUCAGAACUGCCCAAACUGAACCUAACUCAAACCUUUCACAAAUGCAAGAUGAGCCGUGGAUGCCUAUAAAUCUUCAACUUCACUAGUUUAAGAUCACCACUCUCUUUACCACGGCUUGUGUCUAAUGCUGGGAACAUUUGAGAAACUUUGCAGAGACUUUUGUUAUGGAUCAUAUUCCCUGGUAACAAGGGAGGGAUAAGAAUUGUCUGCAUUUCUGAACCACGGAGCGGCAGCUGGCGGCAUGGUUCUCCGCCUUUACCAGUUAUUCCCAACACUACAGCUCUGCUCGGCAUGAAGAUCUAUUAUCGAUGGGGAACUCUUCAGACUUUAAGACGUUUGAUUACUUUGAGGUUGGUCUCAUUACUUGUUGGCACACAUCAAUUGAGUUAUUGAAGUAAUUUUUCUUUUUGUCCAUAUCACUAAUCCCUUAAAUUAAAUCUCGUAAUUCAUUAUUGAAUUGGUAGAGAUAAUUUUAUAAACCAUCCUAGUGUAUUAAAGGACCAAAUAUUCUUAUCAGGGUUUAUUCCAUAUAGAUUGAUUUAACCGAAAUUUAGUUUCUAGGAAUCUGUGUUGAUAGGGUUGUGUAUGUGUGUAUGUGUGUAUAUGUGUAUAUGUAUCUCGUUAUAUUUAUGGUAGUAAAUUUUUUCGGAUAGGUUGUGGGAGAUUCAAGACGAGGGGACAUGGGGUUCAGUGCCAUGAACACCGCAUCUGGGUGGCAUCAUUAAUUUUUUCAAUAGUAGCAUUAUUGAGACAUUGUUGUGAUUAUAAUAAUAAAUGUGUUUAAAUUUUUGCUGCUCUAUUCAUUGUUUCCUGGAGGUUUGUUUUAUAUAUUACUCCUGUUUUGAAUAUGGCCCCCAACGUGGGGCUGUGAUAGUGUCUGAUGCCUACCCGUCUGCCGUUCUAUUGGUUCUGAGAUGUAGUCUUUUGAAAUCUUAUUAGUUUUGAAAUCUUAUUAGCUUUGUGGUACCAUUGAAGCUAUAUUUUGUAAGCAUAUAUAUUCAGUAUGGCAGAACUUAGGAAGAUUGUGAAUGUCCACAAAUUUAUAACCAUAGAGGGCUAUAUCCUACUUUAGAUAAGGCUGAGUGCGAGAAAUAUAAAUUGCAGUUUGAGGAGUGGGUUGUUGAAUUAAAGGAGCUGAAUAAACAAAUUCUUACUCUUAAAUUUGAGGAAUGGGGUAUAGAUGAAGAGGAAAAAAAGUCUGAAGAAGAAUUUAAGUUAUGUCAGGAGUAUAGUGAAAAGCUCUUUCAAUGUUUAGCUUCCCUUAAGCCAGUUGAACCUAACCCCCCUCCUUCUCGUUCCGUAGCAGAUGAGGCUCGUAGCUUUUUAAAGUCCUAUUGCACCCUUACCUAAGUAUAACAGCUCACCUGAGGUGGAUCUUUCUAGAUUUUUUGAAGACUUUGAAGAUACUAUUAGCAAAUUUAGAUAUCCAGAAUACGAUAAACUUUUACUACAAUAGCAACAGUUAUCUGGUAGGGCCUUGGUUCUUGUUAAUUCAUUGGAAGCUGAUAAAAAGGGCUAUACUUAUGCUAAGGAACUGUUGUUGAAAGCUUUUGCCUCU